CUGAACUCUUUUUUAUGCAGAUUAUGCAAACAAAUGAUACUACCCUGCUGCACUCUAAGGUUUCUAGUGUUUGUAGUCAGAUGUCAUUCAACAAUAGCGAGAAUGUGGAUCCCAACAAAAUAACUACUCGAACUCAGGUGACCAAGCAUCAGACUGAUUGCAGUACUUUAGAAGGUGUAGUGAGGAAUACCCUGAAGAGAAAGAAAGUUUUCGAGACAACAAAAAUGAGAAAAGAUACUCAAGCAAUCUCUCCUACAACCAGAAACAACAUACUUAGGAAUUCGGGCACGGAAACAUGAAAGAUGGUCAUAGAUGCCUAGAAAUGCCGGUACACUCCUGAAGGUUGAAGUUGAAGGUGACACACCGCUGAUUGGCUUGCUCUUGUCUGUGUCCGUCUAUGAUUGAUUGCAUCAAGCUGGAACACUUCUUCAUAUUGUUGUCACAACAGUAGGCAGUGUACAUUUCUGUUUGUGAUUGAUACUUUGAUAUUGUUUCAGAAUUUGUGAAGAUGUUCUGAUGGUCAUGCUUUACAUUAUUCGCGU